rnacentral:rRNA from 1 species
GUCUGCAGCUAGCUCUCUGCAACUCUCACAUGGUCGCCCACUGAAUCUAGGCAGGGCUGCACCCGGUCAGUACCUGGAUGGGAGACCACAUAGGAAAGCUAGGUUGCUGCCGGAA